rnacentral:ncRNA from 1 species
AGGUUAAUAACAAUGUGCUCGUGGCAGAGAGAACAGGCAGAUCGUAAAGACGCCGUCAAUCCCUCCUUGGAGGCUCGAGCCGCGCCGUCCUGGCGCGGACGCUUU